GUGCUCGCUUAGGCUGCACAUAUACUAAAAUUGGAACGAUACAGAGAUUAGCAUGUCCCCUGCACAAGGAUGACAGGCAAAUUCGUGAAGCGUUCCAUAUUUAA
rnacentral:snRNA from 1 species